rnacentral:rRNA from 1 species
UACGUAGGGUGCGAGCGUUGUCCGGAAUUAUUGGGCGUAAAGGGCUCGUAGGCGGUUUGUCGCGUCGGGAGUGAAAAUCCGGGGCUUAACUCUGGACUGGCUUUCGAUACGGGCAGACUAGAGGUAUGCAGGGGAGAACGGAAUUCCUGGUGUAGCGGUGAAAUGCGCAGAUAUCAGGAGGAACACCGGUGGCGAAGGCGGUUCUCUGGGCAUUACCUGACGCUGAGGAGCGAAAGUGUGGGGAGCGAACAGG